rnacentral:rRNA from 1 species
CUAAGCUACAAAGGGCAAGCGGUGGAUGCCUUGGCGUCAAGAGGCGAAGAAAGACGUGACAAGCUGCGAUAAGCUUCGGGGAGUUGCUAAAUAAACUUUGAUCCGGAGAUUUCUGAAUGGGGAAACCCUCCCGGGAUAAUGCCCGGGAACCUUCAGCUGAAUACAUAGGCUGUUGGGGCCAACGAGGUGAACUGAAACAUCUUAGUAACCUCAGGAAGAGAAAAUAACAAUGAUUUUCCAAGUAGCGGCGAGCGAACGGGAAAGAGCCCAAACCUUUCAUGUGUUAAAGCCCGAAAGCGUUGCAUGAAAGGGGUCGCGGGAUUUGAUUGGACGAAGUUUCGGAUUCGUCGGGAAGUGAUAAAUUCGAUUGUUAACCGAAUCGUCUGGAAAGGCGGACCAGAGCAGGUGACAGUCCUGUAGGUGAAGGUAAUCGAACUUCCUGGAUCGAACACCCAAGUACGGCGGGACACGAGAAACCCUGUCGGAAUUCGUGAGGACCAUCUCACAAGGCUAAAUACUACUUGACGACCGAUAGUGAACCAGUACCGUGAGGGAAAGGUGAAAAGUACUCCUGUGAGGAGAGUGAAAUAGUACCUGAAACCGUUUGCCUACAAGCAGUGGGAGCACCAUGGACCCAUCCUAGCAAUAGGGUGCUCCGGUGUGACCGCGUGCCUUUUGCAUAAUGAGUCAGCGAGUUACUUUACGCAGCAAGGUUAAGCCGUCAGGUGUAGCCGUAGCGAAAGCGAGUCUUAACUGGGCGAAUGAGUUGCGUGGAGUAGACCCGAAACCAGGUGAUCUAUCCAUGGCCAGAGUGAAGCGCCGGUAAAACGGCGUGGAGGCUCGAACCGAUACUGGUUGAAAACAGUUCGGAUGAGCUGUGGAUAGGGGUGAAAGGCCAAACAAACCUGGAGAUAGCUGGUUCUCUCCGAAAUAUAUUUAGGUAUAGCCUCACAAAUUAAGCAACGGGGGUAGAGCACUGAAUGGGCUAGGGGUCCCACCAGAUUACCAAACCUAAUCAAACUCCGAAUACCGUUGACUGUUAUUGUGGGAGUCAGACUGCGGGAGCUAAGUUCCGUGGUCGAGAGGGAAACAACCCAGACCGCCGGCUAAGGUCCCUAAAUUCAUGCUAAGUGGUGAAGGAUGUGGAAAUGCACAGACAACCAGGAGGUUGGCUUAGAAGCAGCCACCCUUUAAAGAAAGCGUAACAGCUCACUGGUCGAGUGAGUCCGCGCCGAAAAUGUAACGGGGCUAAGCAUGAUACCGAAGCUGCGGAGCCAUACUUUGUAUGGUUGGUAGGAGAGCAUUGAAUACGGGCAGAAGGUUGACCGUAAGGACAGCUGGACUGUAUUCAAGAGCCCAUGCUGACAUGAGUAGCGAUAAAGCGGGUGAAAAACCCGCUCGCCGAAAGCCUAAGGUUUCCUGAGUAAAGCUAAUCUUCUCAGGGUUAGUCGAUCCCUAAGCCGAGGCCGAAAGGCGUAGGUGAUGGAAAACAGGUUAAUAUUCCUGUACCACCGUAUCAUCGUUUGAGUGAUGGAGGGACGCAGAAGGGUAGGUCAUCCGCCUGCUGGAAUAGGCGGUUCAAGCACGUAGGCUUAAGAGACAGGCAAAUCCGUUUCUUUUUAAGGCCGAGAUGCGAUGAGGAGGGACUUUGUCCCAUAAACUGAUUGAUCCCAUACUGCCAAGAAAAUCUUCUAGCGAGAUGAUAAGGUGAUCGUACCGCAAACCAACACAGGUAGGCAGGAAGAGAAUUCCAAGGCGCUUGAGAGAACUCUGGUUAAGGAACUCGGCAAAAUAACACCGUAACUUUGGGAGAAGGUGUGCCCCUUGUAUGUGAAGGACUUCUCGUCCGGAGCGGAACGGGGUCGCAGAGAAAUGGCGGUAGCGACUGUUUACUAAAAACAUAGGACUCUGCUAAGUCGCAAGACGAUGUAUAGGGUCUGACGCCUGCCCGGUGCCGGAAGGUUAAGGGGAUUUGUUAGCACUUUUGUGCGAAGCUUUGAACCGAAGCCCCGGUAAACGGCGGCCGUAACUAUAACGGUCCUAAGGUAGCGAAAUUCCUUGUCGGGUAAGUUCCGACCUGCACGAAUGGCGUAACGA